AGAUUGAACGCUGGCGGCAGGCCUAACACAUGCAAGUCGAGCGGCAGCACGGGUACUUGUACCUGGUGGCGAGCGGCGGACGGGUGAGUAAUGCCUAGGAAUCUGCCUGGUAGUGGGGGAUAACGCUCGGAAACGGACGCUAAUACCGCAAUACGUCCUACGGGAGAAAGCAGGGGACCUUCGGGCCUUGCGCUAUCAGAUGAGCCUAGGUCGGAUUAGCUAGUUGGUGAGGUAAUGGCUACACCAAGGCGACGAUCCGUAACUGGUCUGAGAGGAUGAUCAGUCACACUGGAACUAGAGACACGGUCCAGGAACCUCCGUACGGGAGCGAGCGAGUAGGGGAAUAGUUGGACAAAGUGGGGACCGAAAGGCCUGAACGUCCAGACCAAGUGCCGGCGUGAGUUGAAGAAGGUCUUCGGAAUUGUAAAGCUAACGUUUAAGUUAGGGAAGAAGGGUCAAGGUUAACCUAUUACGUAUCC
rnacentral:rRNA from 1 species